rnacentral:rRNA from 1 species
AACGAACGCUGGCGGCAUGCCUAACACAUGCAAGUCGAACGAGACCUUCGGGUAUAGUGGCGCACGGGUGCGUAACGCGUGGGAACCUGCCCUUAGGUUCGGAAUAACUCCCCGAAAGGGGUGCUAAUACCGGAUAAUUUCUUCGGACCAAUGAUUUAUCGCCUUUGGAUGGGCCCGCGUUGGAUUAGCUAGUUGGUAGGGUAAAAGCCUACCAAGGCGACGAUCCAUAGCUGGUCUGAGAGGAUGAUCAGCCACACUGGGACUGUGACACGGCCCAGACUCCUACGGGAGGCAGCAGUGGGGAAUAUUGGACAAUGGGCGAAAGCCUGAUCCAGCAAUGCCGCGUGAGUGAUGAAGGCCUUAGGGUUGUAAAGCUCUUUUACCCGGGAUGAUAAUGACAGUACCGGGAGAAUAAGCUCCGGCUAACUCCGUG